rnacentral:sRNA from 1 species
CUUCCUGUUAGAAUGCAGGGAUAUAGUGACAGUUACUUGACACAGCGGUUUAGUUGCAUUUCUCCAUACUUUAAAUCCUAGAGAAAUUUGUGAGUGCCUUAGCAGCUUGUGUUUUAAAGCAUUAACCUUUACUAAUAAACAUUGAAAAUUUUAGCAAUAAAUGUAAGUAUUAACGAAACAACUUGAUCAAAACCAGUUAAAGGAGGAAAACAAUACAUGUUGAAAACUUCAGCAAAGCUGCUUCUUGGCCUUUGCUCCAUAUAUCUGACGACCUUGGAAAGUGAUGACUUUAUAGCAUGUGACCACGUGGCUCUCACCACUGUGAGGCAUUUUAAAGCACAGACCAGUGGAUCAACAGCUUUCAUCACAUGAGAAGGAAGAGCUGUGCGAAUUCACAGAGGGUGGUGGUUUUUGUUCUUCAAGGUGAAGAAGUUUCAUUCAAAAGUUGUCAGCUGGUACGAAUCCCUCUGUGGCGUUCCCUGCAUGUGUGGGGCUAAGGUUUGCUGAAUAGUCAAAGAAUGGAAGUCUUUCUCUUUGAAGAUCACCAGGCGCCUACCACGGAGAUACAAUGACAUCCUGUCUAACGGUGGUAACUAGUCUCUACCCAUGUGGUCAGAAAUAAAAAUAAUUGAAACAUGGUGUUACCGAAGUUUCCAGCUUCCUCUCCUAGCUAAAGAAAGGAGAGAACACAGUGCACAGGGCAGGGUUUCGGGUUUCAGCUUUUCCUGUCUUUCAGACAUGAACCCACUAAAGAGAGUAAAAUUCAGAAACGAAAAUCUAAAGGACUCGAGCCUAUCAAGUGCAUUGGGAUGUGGGAAUUGGAGGCUGAAUAUAUCAUAAAGUGGCUCUUGGUACCAACUAUGUUCUAACAAACUCACAAUGGCUGAGGUUAGGUCACUAUAUUAAUACACUAUAAAUCAUUCUACAAACGGAAAGUGAGCCACAAUAAUCAGCAUACUUAUCAUGCUCAUAAGUCAGAGAAAUGCCCCAGUCUCAAUUCAUCACAUGGUUCUCUGUAUAAUCCUUGUCCAGUUUGUGCCUAAGUGUUUCCAUGUCAAUUGUCCAAGCAAACCAAAGCAGUGGAUUUCAACACUUGCUUGUAGAUAACCACAUGAAAGCCCUCAUGCCAUACACACGCUACUAUUCCAAACACAGGAGCAGAUAUGAGUCAUGGGUACAACCUCUUUAGUUCCAAAGGUAACUACUGCACAGGGCUUCCCAGAACCACGUUAACGUGAAGAGAAUAACUUUAAAAUUCUCCUUACUACAAACUCUGCACUGAAAAGUACAGAAAUGAUUUAACUGAUUUUGAGGGGAAGACAUCAAGAACUAUCUAAGACACACUCAGUUUAUUCUACUGGAUUUAGAUUGAAUUGGCCUCUCAAUUACAGGCGAUCCUUUUAAUUCAGGAAAUGAAUGUCACGUGGCCCAUUUCAUCUUAGAGAUAUAAAAAGACACAGAGAGUACAAAUCUAUCAAGAACUUACUGCCUAUGCCUUCUGAUUUAAUUUUUAUUGUAAAGGACAUCAAAACCAGUAUUUAGUGGGGAAAGAAAGAUGGUUCAGUGGGAAGAAGAACAAUGACAAGAAAGACUGCUUACGAUGAAGAGGAUGAUCCUGCAUUACAAAAGAUUUCAGAGGGCAUCGUGGACAUUUUGUGUACUGUGGGAAGCGGUAGAAAAUAAUGUGAACCAAUUACAAUCGAGCUUUGUGCUUAAUUUUUCAUGAAGAUUUAAGCUGCAAUGCUUCACACAAAUGU